GAGAAAGUGAGUAUAGAACUUGCAUAACAUACUUUAAUAACCAAAUUUGAAUUUUGAAAUUUAACUAAUCUGUAUAUGAUAAGCUUAUUUCUUUUAUGUUUUUAUGCACUUUUCAUUGAUUGUUAGUCCGCUAAAGCUAAAAGAUAAAGAGACUAAUAAAUAAAUAUCAUGGACAAUAAAAAUGAUCUUGAUCAAAGAUGGCAGAAGCAGCAUGAACGAGACAUAAUUAUUCCGUUUCUUUCUAGACAUUUUUGUGGGUUUAAAGUUUAGCGUCUGGAUGACAAUUUGAUGUCCAGGGUCCAUCCAGUUGUAGGUUUAGCUUAUGGUAUCCUGAGCACCUUAAUUGUGCAUUUUUUGAUUCUUUUCUGCAUAGAGUGAAGAUCUGACUAUAAGCAAGGCGACCUUGCCUUUUUGGUGAAUGUCAAAUGAUGCAUUUGGCUUUUCAUAGGGCUAUUAAAACCAAAAUAUUAGACGUCAAAUAAAAA
rnacentral:misc_RNA from 1 species